ACCUGAACCGCAAGGGGCAUCUGGUGAAAGUGAAACGAUGCAGAGAAGAUUAAUAUGACUCUUGCGUAAGGAUGACAUGCACAAAUUGAGAAAUGAUCCAAAAAAAU